rnacentral:rRNA from 13 species
UUGAGAGUUUGAUCCUGGCUCAGAACGAACGCUGGCGGCAGGCCUAACACAUGCAAGUCGAGCGCACUCUUCGGAGUGAGCGGCGGACGGGUUAGUAACGCGUGGGAAUAUACCCAGAUCUAAGGAAUAGCCACUGGAAACGGUGAGUAAUACCUUAUACGCCCUUCGGGGGAAAGAUUUAUCGGGAAAGGAUUGGCCCGCGUUAGAUUAGAUAGUUGGAGGGGUAAUGGCCUACCAAGUCUACGAUCUAU